UACGUAGGGGGCUAGCGUUGUCCGGAUUUAUUGGGCGUAAAGAGCGUGUAGGCGGCUAGGUAGGUCCGUUGUGAAAACUAGAGGCUCAACCUCUAGACUUCGACCGAAACCACUUGGCUAGAGUCCGGAAGAGGAGAGUGGAAUUCCUGGUGUAGCGGUGAAAUGCGCAGAUAUCAGGAAGAACACCCGUGGCGAAGGCGGCUCUCUGGGACGGUACUGACGCUGAGACGCGAAAGCGUGGGGAGCGAACAGG
rnacentral:rRNA from 1 species